rnacentral:rRNA from 1 species
UAGUGGAGUAUAGUCGUACCAGGUUUCCGUAGGUGACUUGCGGAAGGAUCAUUAACGAGUUUGAAGUGGGUUUGAUGCUGGCCUUCCCAGGCAUGUGCUCGCCCUACUCUCAUCCACUCACACCUGUGCACCUAUAAAAUGUUGAAAGAUUCAUCCCCUAGACUUCGUCAGGGGUGCGGUUAGGGGAGACCUUGACCGUUGGGUUGAAUCUUUUGCGUUUUACCUUUCUAUAAACUCUUGUAUGUUGUAGAAUGUCUUAUGGCCUACGGGCUUGUAUAAAUUGAAAUAYAACUUUCAACAACGGAUCUCUUGGCUCUCGCAUCGAUGAAGAACGCAGCGAAAUGCGAUAAGUAAUGUGAAUUGCAGAAUUCAGUGAAUCAUCGAAUCUUUGAACGCACCUUGCGCUCUUGGGCCAUUCCUAAGAGCAUGCCUGUUUGAGUGUCGUGAACUCCUCAACCCUGGGUGGAUUUUGAAUCCGACCAGUGGCUUGGAUUUGGGGGCUUGCUGGCCGUUUUGAUUCGGUCUGCUCCCCUUGAAUGUAUUAGCUUGGACUUGUUACAGAGGCUGCAUAGCGUGAUAACUAUCUACGCUUUGGUUGUCUUUGAAACACUUCUGGUCUGGCUUCCAAUCGUCCUCUGGACAUACUUCACUCUUUGACCUCAAAUCAGGUAGGACUACCCGCUGAACUUAAGCAUAUCAAUAAGCGGAGGAAAAGAAACUAACAAGGAUUCCCCUAGUAACUGCGAGUGAAGCGGGAAGAGCUCAAAUUUAAAAUCUGACGGUUCUGCCGUCCGAGUUGUAAUCUGGAGAAGCGUUUUCUGUGCUGGACCGUGCAUAAGUGUCUUGGAAUAGGACGUCAUAGAGGGUGAGAAUCCCGUCUUUGGCACGGACUACCAGUGCUCUGUGAUACGCUCUCAAAGAGUCGAGUUGUUUGGGAAUGCAGCUCAAAAUGGGUGGUAAAUUCCAUCUAAAGCUAAAUAUAGGCGAGAGACCGAUAGCGAACAAGUACCGUGAGGGAAAGAUGAAAAGCACUUUGGAAAGAGAGUUAAACAGUACGUGAAAUUGUUGAAAGGGAAACGCUUGAAGUCAGUCGCGUUGUCCAGGACUCAACCUCAGUUUUCUUUGGUGUAUUUCCUGGUUAACGGGUCAACAUCAAUUUUGAUCGGUGGACAAAGGCAGAGGGAAUGUGGCACCUUCGGGUGUGUUAUAGCCCCUUGUCAUAUACACCGGUUGGGAUUGAGGAUAUCACGCCCUCGGCGGUAGGAUGUUGACAUAAUGGCUUUAAGCGACCCGUCUUGAAACACGGACCAAGGAGUCUAACAUGCCUGCGAGUGUUAGGGUGGUAAACCCUUGCGCGUAAUGAAAGUGAAAGUUGGGACCUCUUUGAGGGCACCGACGCCCGGCCUUGAACUCUUGUGACGGUGCUGCGGUAGAGCAUGUAUGUUGGGACCCGAAAGAUGGUGAACUAUGCCUGAAUAGGGCGAAGCCAGAGGAAACUCUGGUGGAGGCUCGUAGCGAUUCUGACGUGCAAAUCGAUCGUCAAAUUUGGGUAUAGGGGCGAAAGACUAAUCGAACCAUCUAGUAGACGGUUC